CCUACGGGUGGCUGCAGUGGGGAAUAUUGCACAGUGGGCGCAAGCCUGAUGCAGCCAUGCCGCGUGUGUGAAGAAGGCCUUCGGGUUGUAAAGCACUUUCAGCGGGGAGGAAGGCGGUGAGGUUAAUAACCUCAUCGAUUGACGUUACCCGCAGAAGAAGCACCGGCUAACUCCGUGCCAGCAGCCGCGGUAAUACGGAGGGUGCAAGCGUUAAUCGGAAUUACUGGGCGUAAAGCGCACGCAGGCGGUCUGUCAAGUCGGAUGUGAAAUCCCCGGGCUCAACCUGGGAACUGCAUUCGAAACUGGCAGGCUAGAGUCUUGUAGAGGGGGGUAGAAUUCCAGGUGUAGCGGUGAAAUGCGUAGAGAUCUGGAGGAAUACCGGUGGCGAAGGCGGCCCCCUGGACAAAGACUGACGCUCAGGUGCGAAAGCGUGGGGAGCAAACAGGAUUAGAUACCCUAGUAGUC
rnacentral:rRNA from 1 species